CCUACGGGAGGCAGCAGUGGGGGAUAUUGCACAAUGGGGGAAACCCUGAUGCAGCGACGCCGCGUGGGUGAAGAAGGGCCUCGGCGCGUAAAGCCCUGUCAGCAGGGAAGAAAAUGACGGUACCUGAAGAAGAAGCCCCGGCGAACGACGUGCCAGCAGCCGCGGUAAUACGUCGGGGGCAAGCGUUAUCCGGAGUUACGGGGUGUAAAGGGGGCGCAGACGGCGAUGCAAGCCAGGAGUGAAAGCCCGGGGCCCACCCCCGGGACUGCUCUUGGAACUGCGUGGCUAGAGUGCAGGAGGGGCAGGCGGAAUUCCUGGUGUAGCGGUGCAAUUCGUAGAUAUCCGGCGGAACUCCGGUGGCGAAGGCGGCCUGCUGGACUGCAACUGCCGUUGAGGCCCGACAGCGUGGGGAGCACACAGGAUUAGCUACCCCGGUAGUC
rnacentral:rRNA from 1 species